rnacentral:rRNA from 1 species
GAUGAACGCUGGCGGCGUGCCUAAUACAUGCAAGUCGAGCGGACGGACGAGAAGCUUGCUUCUCUGAUGUUAGCGGCGGACGGGUGAGUAACACGUGGAUAACCUACCUAUAAGACUGGGAUAACUUCGGGAAACCGUAGCUAAUACCGGAUAAUAUUUUGAACCGCAUGGUUCAAAAGUGAAAGACGGUCUUGCUGUCACUUAUAGAUGGAUCCGCGCUGCAUUAGCUAGUUGGUAAGGUAACGGCUUACCAAGGCAACGAUGCAUAGCCGACCUGAGAGGGUGAUCGGCCACACUGGAACUGAGACACGGUCCAGACUCCUACGGGAGGCAGCAGUAGGGAAUCUUCCGCAAUGGGCGAAAGCCUGACGGAGCAACGCCGCGUGAGUGAUGAAGGUCUUCGGAUCGUAAAACUCUAUUAUUAGGGAAGAACAUAUGUGUAAGUAACUGUGCACAUCUUGACGGUACCUAAUCAGAAAGCCACGGCUAACUACGUG